UGGAUAAAGCCUCCGUCACCGCCAUCGCCACACCGGGGGGGGGGGGGGGGACGAUUGCCCCAGGACGUCGACGACCCCCCCUUCCUGCCUUCCUGGGUUCACCUCCACUGCAUUCGUUGCCGCUUCUGCAUUUGCUCCCAAUUCCAGCGGCGAUUCUCUCAAGGCAGUGAGCAGGUUUGCGAUAGAGGCGCAGGGUUCUUAGGGGGGAUUCGGGGGAGAAAUGUAUCUCACUGUGGGCCCGAGGUUUAAGCCAGGAUGUAGCUGCACGGGUUUAUCACCCCAGGGGAGGUCCUCGCCCUUGUUGGUGCGCAAUUCUACCAUUUCGGAAGAAGGGGUGGGCGAGCCUAGCGGUGCGGGGAACGAGCAGCUGCAGACAGCGCGGUUGAUUCCCAAGGUGAAGCCGAGGGAGAAGUGGAUGAGAGGUGAUGGACCAGGGGAGUACGGCGGCCCGCCCAUCAACUGGAGAAUGCCACCAGCUGGGGGCGUGAAACCCAAAAAAGAUCCCUUGACGUCCACAGACGACUACAUAUGGAAGCAGGCUUGGCAGCCCUAUGUAGAGGCUGCUCCAGGGGAUAUCAAGCCCCCUUCACCUCCGGAAGCUGAGCCAGAAUCCGGUUUUCUUAGUCUGAAUCGCGCAAUCGCCCUGGACAGCUUGGAUGUAGACCUGAGUAAGGAGCUUAUGCAACCAUCGAAGGCCACACUAGAACGUCAAGUUGCAGCCGCUCGCCGGGCUUCUUUAUUGGAAUCUGAAGCUAAGAGGAAAGAGGAGAGCAAAAUUAAGUGGCGGUUUGCCCCAACUAAGCGUGAAGAGGAGCAAUGGGCUCGUGCCACUAAGGCCGUGUCUGGUGGCUCGGAAAAACUGAUGAGAGACUCAGAGAAAAAGGUAGUAGACCCUGUUAAAUCUGCAGCUAUAGCAAGAAAAAAGUAUCAAAAGCUCAAACAAGAUCUUCAAAUCACUACACUUGCUAUUGGAGGUGCCAGUUUAGUGGGGACCUACUUUUCCUAUUCUGCAGAAGCUGCUAUCAGCUAUGGAACUGGGCUGGUUGGAGCACUCGUAUAUAUUCGCAUGCUUGGAAACAGUGUUGACAGCGUUGGAGCGAGUAACGCUGGAGGAGCUAUGAAGGGUGCGAUGGGACAGCCUCGUACUUUGGUGCCAGUAUUAUUGGUAAUGCUCUUCAACAGAUGGAAUGCAUUGGUAGUCCCCAAGUUUGAUGUGAUUCCAUUGGAGCUUAUUCCAAUGCUGGUGGGCUUCUUUACGUAUAAAGCAGCCACAUUUGUCGAAACGUUUAAGGAAAUUCUUCCAAAAUCUGAAGAAGACGACAGUGACAUUUGAGACCGUUUUGGACCCAUACAUCACUUCUUCUCUCUGCAUAUACAUUGUGAGGAUUUGCCACGUCUCAUUCUCCACACUGAGUGUAAUACAUAAUAUGAUAAGGUUCUGGAUCUCCAAAUCCAGAAGAAAACGUAUGUACAUUUGUUUUUCUGUAGCAUGCAACAAGGGCAGAAGCCAUGAUUCUUAGAGUUGCAUUUGGUCUAGAUUAGGGGUGAUGAAACUUUACAAGGUUCAAUACAGUAUAUACCCAGUUAAGUGUAUUGCUCUGAAAGCGUUUGUCUACGUCAGAUGUAUUCUUGGUGUUCCUUUGAUGACAUCCUCCUUGUCCUGUAUUUUACAGUGAUAGGUAAAGAAUGGAUAACCCAUCUUGACACUGACGAAGUGAUAUAUGAGCACCACAUUCACCUAUUCCUGUGUGAAAGUGGUGAUUGGCGCGAUUUUGCCACACGUCUUCGAAAUUCAGUUCUGUGGGAUUUCCUAUGAAUAAACUGAUCUUCGUAA